rnacentral:miRNA from 14 species
AAGCCUCAUCAUAUCGACCCCUCCCUCACACACACACACACACACACACACACACACACACANUUGUGUGUGUGUGUGUGUGUGUGUGUGUGUGUGAGGGAGGGGUCGAUAUGAUGAGGCUU